rnacentral:rRNA from 1 species
AAUAGAUACCCGGGUAGUCCACGCCGUAAACGAUGAGUGCUAAGUGUUAGAGGGUUUCCGCCCUUUAGUGCUGCAGCAAACGCAUUAAGCACUCCGCCUGGGGAGUACGGUCGCAAGACUGAAACUCAAAGGAAUUGACGGGGGCCCGCACAAGCGGUGGAGCAUGUGGUUUAAUUCGAAGCAACGCGAAGAACCUUACCAGGUCUUGACAUCCUUCGCCACUUCCAGAGAUAGAAGGUUCCCCUUCGGGGGACGAAGUGACAGGUGGUGCAUGGUUGUCGUCAGCUCGUGUCGUGAGAUGUUGGGUUAAGUCCCGCAACGAGCGCAACCCUUGAUCUUAGUUGCCAGCAUUCAGUUGGGCACUCUAAGGUGACUGCCGGUGACAAACCGGAGGAAGGUGGGGAUGACGUCAAAUCAUCAUGCCCCUUAUGACCUGGGCUACACACGUGCUACAAUGGAUGGUACAAAGGGCUGCAAGACUGCGAAGUCAAGCCAAUCCCAUAAAACCAUUCUCAGUUCGGAUUGCAGG